rnacentral:rRNA from 1 species
UACGAAGGGGGGCUAGCGUUGCUCGGAAUGACUGGGCGUAAAGGGCGCGUAGGCGGCUUACAUAGUCAGGCGUGAAAUUCCUGGGCUCAACCUGGGGGCUGCGUUUGAUACGUGUAGGCUUGAGUUCGGAAGAGGGUCGUGGAAUUCCCAGUGUAGAGGUGAAAUUCGUAGAUAUUGGGAAGAACACCGGUGGCGAAGGCGGCGACCUGGUCCGAAACUGACGCUGAGGCGCGAAAGCGUGGGGAGCAAACAGG